GAGCCAGGAGGGGCGCGCGCACGUACCCAGAGGCGCGGGCACGCGCGCCCGCUCUCCUUCACGUUCACCUUGACUGCAGGGGGGCGGGGGAUGGGACUACCUCCCCGCACCCCCUGGCUCACGACAACCCCUCUCCCCCCGCGCCCCGCCGCCGUCCUGCCCUGACGCAGAGGCUCCGGCUCGGGGAAAGAGGAGGGGGGGCGAGGCGCAAAGGCCCUCCGGUCGCCGCAGCGGCGGGAGAGCCGCGCGCUCUCCGCAGUGAUGUCAACCGCCUCCGCCGCAGCCCCCCAGCCACCCCGCCCCGGGCCUCGCCCGAGCCGCGUCCCGCGGAAACACUCGUCCCGCGCCUCCGGCCUGGGGUUAGAAGCAGAAGGCGUGCGGUGCCCUAAGCACCCCCCCACUCCAUUUGCCAAAGCAGGAGAGACAGGGGGUGCACCACCCUCUGGGUAGGAAGCGGAGGAAGGGUAGCGGGGCGGAGGACCAGGUGUGGGUUUGCUGGCCCAGGCCGCUGAUCGGAGUCGUCCCGGGACCGGUGCGGGUUACGUCAAGGAGGGAGGGCACUGACCACUGCAGGUGCCGCGCGUGUGGGCACGGUGAAAGCGCCCCCUUCUCCCAGGAUAGAAACGGAUAAACGGAAGCGCGUGUGAAUGUGCGGGUGCGAAUCGCCACCUCCCGCCUUGGUUUUCCCGCCCUUCCGAGCGCUCCCACUUGUCACUUUCCCCAAAUCCGCAUUUUCCUUGGCGCAGCUCUCCCCAAGCAAGCAGGAGAGGGAGUCAGCAGAUGUGGCUUCUUUUAGCUGAAUAAUCCGUUAAAGGAAAAAUAAUUUUUCAAAAGGACCUCACCCGAAGAGGAUGGCGAGCGAGAUUGGGGCUUGUAGAUCUACUGCCUUUCUUUGGAACGCUGCGGACUGCGACCAGUCUCUUAAAAAGAAGAACAGAGAGAAGAAGACCCUGAAUAGACCACCCCCCGGACAAAGCACUUUGGGUUUCGCCAGAAGGGAUGCGCGGGAGCGUUGGCUCGGGAAUACGAGUGAUCUCCCGUGCGGUAGGGGGCCCGCCCGGCGUGCGGACCUCUGAGGCGAGAGGACUGCAGCAGCCGAGUUCCGGAAGGCUGAUUCCCCAGAUCCUGGCCCCGGACCCCGGCAGCUAGCCCCUGCGGCACGCCCGGCCCGGCUGCUCCUGGACUCGGCGAGCGAGGAAAAAGCCUGGAUCCGAAAGGAUGGGGGAGAACAAAGAGCCUUUGGAAGACGUCGCUGUUAUCUCAUUGUCUGUGUGAUCGGGAGAGCUGCGGUAGGGAGGAUGCUGUGGUCCUUUUCUCCCUGCGCUCCCCCACCCCCAAGCCUGUCCCCGCUGUCAGUGCGCACGCACACGCGCCGCUUUUUACUUGUUUUUCCUUGUUUUCUCAUUCCAUCUUCUCCCCAUCCCCCUUCCUUUCUUCCACCUUUCCUUCCUCCUUUCCUUCCUCAGGAGAAAGGCCUCUCUCUCCGUGUUCACAGCGGACCUUGAUUUAAAUGUCCAUACAAUUAAGGCACGCGGUGAAUGCCAAGAAUGGGGCUGGCUGUGCACCGUCGGUCCGGGAGGGCCCUCCGAGGAAGGAGCCACAGAGCCGAGUUGCCCUCCGCAGAGCUCAGCGCUGCGGCUUCAGGCGGGAGGGGUCGCGGGCUCUCGCUGGCUGGGCUGCCCCAACCGGAGCCUUUGGGCUGGGGAGGCGUGUGGCUUGUGACAGACAGGGGCUUAGAGAUGCAAACAGACUCAGAGAGAAACAGAAGCUGAUUCUGUAACAGAAACACAGAUCUGUGCAAGCCCAGAUUGGGGGUGGGGGGAGUGUGGAGCGGGGAGGCAGUUGCUGUGAGCGCAUUGCGGAGUGCUUCCGUGUGCAGAUUUUUCUCUGGGCUCGGGGUGCAUUGUAUGCGGGGCGACACCUUUCUUCGUGGCUGUGUUUUUGCUCUGGUCUUAGCUUUUGGUUUACCCUUUAAACAAAUAAUCUGGCAUCCAGAAGACCGGCAGACUGUGUCAGGGCUGGGACUGCAGAUAUAUUGGGUUCUGCUGUCGGUUGGGGGGUGGGGGGAGGGCAGCCAGUAGGAAGGGAGGAGGGAGGUGUUUGUCCCUCUUUGCUGUAGCGCUGUGGGCACCUGACAAGCCGAAGGAAGUCAUUGAGAUACAGGGGGAAGAAGCACCAAACUCCUGGACCAUUCACCACAAGCUCCAUCAGAGCUGAAAGUAUGGCCAGGGCUCUCCGGAGAAACUCACUUCCUCCUGGCGGCUGUAAUCGCAGUUUCAGGCAGAGAUCCAGGAGAUGCCGAGGAGGGGAGAGGUGCAGUAACCUACAUGCACCCGAGGGGGUGGAGGCGGUGCGUUCCUUUUUAAAAUCUGAACAGAAGGAAAAACAGAAUGUGCACAGGUGGGGGUCUGAGGAAAGACUGUUUUUGAAAGAGGCCGUUCAGGGAAUGGUAAGGGUUAACCCUCCCUCAUCCUGAAGAACCUGCUACCCAAAUCACCUUUCCUCCCCAUCGGCAGACCUAGUGCAGCAGCUGGUCCUAGAGAUCCCCCUGCGCUCCACAGUCACAGCCCAACCCCCGACCCUGAGCUGCAGUGGAGAGACCUAAACUCAUUAAUUUCCAGGUGGAGAAAAUGGAGGAGGGGCAGGUCCCUGCAGAGAAAGGAGGCCAAGAACUGGAACUUCCCACCCAGGAAGGCUGCUGCAUCCCUUUCCUUGACCCUGGCAGAGGCCCGUCUUUGCAAGACCAAGGCCAUAAGGGAUGCUUACAAUUUUAGUUUGGUUCCUGACAAGAGUAAUCAAGGCCUAAAAGAGUCUCAGCUGAAGCUUACUGAGGUGCUCUUUCUUCUCCAAAGCCUCAGUAUAGCCCACUAAAUAAAUUAGUAUUCAUGGAUACCUAGCCUCAUCUCCUCCCAUAUAUUUACUGAGUACCUACUAUGUGCCGAUCAUUGUGUAAUUAUUAUAUCUUGAGUUCUUCCUUUGCCUUCCUAAGGGAGUGUCUGGAGUCAGGUGAGGUUAAGUGUGCUGUGCCCCAUUCCAGACACUCCCAGAACCUUCUCUGAGUCUGGCAGAAAUGUGCCAGAACCUACUCACCCCUGCAGAGAGAAGGAUGCAGUUCACAUCGUGCAAACUGCAGGCGCAGGGCUCUUCUUCACAUCCCAGAAGGCAAGCCUGGCUGGACGACAGAAGAGAAAGCAGCUUCUCUCAUCCCUUAGCCUUAGCCAGGGUUGUCCUAAGAGGGACCGGCAGCCACUGCCUUCAAAACAGUCCUCCCUCUAAAUGGUCCCUCCUUGGCCCUCCCCCGCCCCUCCUCUGAGCGCUGCUCUUACAGUGCUUUGGGGCCUGACUUAAGCCUCCGAUGACCAACCCUCGACCCCACAGUUGUCCACAUUAAUAAGCCUCAUCUCCGUAAUUGCUUCCCCGUAAUUCCAUCAGACAUGACUGUGCCCUUCGCUGAUGUGCCUGCCGCCAGUACAAUCUCCAGAUGCCUCCCCAAGUAACGCCCCUUUGAGGUGGAAACCUAACACGCUUCUCCCUGAGAGUUUAAACCGCAGGCACCAUGGACGAGGCCUGCCAGGUUCCUGCUGCCAACGAUUAGGAUGGGAAGGGCGUGUUUUCUUAUUUUAUUACUUAUUUAAACUCUUGUUCCAGAAAGCUCUAAUGUGUGUGGGAGUGUUCUGGGUUUGCCGGGGCUUUUCCAGUGUUCGCCAGGUCUCAUUAUGAAAUGUGGUUUUAAGGGGGGCUUUAAUGGCUGAAAAUGGCACCGAUGAAUGCACCACUCUGACCCCUGGGUAAUUUCAAGGCCCCUUUUGUGUUCACCAAAUAUAGGUAUAAGGUGAAGAUCAGUCCUAGCUUCUUAUCUUCUGCUCUAUUAGGGGCCUAUUUCUGCCCAGCGGUAUUUAUGUAAGAAACCUGAUGAUUUCUGCUCUUUCAAGGCAUUUCUUUAACCCUUAACAUCAUCUUCACCCCUAUCUCUCUAUCUGAGCCCCUCUAAUUACAAGCUGUGGCUUAAAUGAAGGAAAAACGAUAUGAAUUUUAAAAUGUAGGACAUGUUUGGGUGCAGUUUGCUGACCGAAUAUGCUAUGAAGACCCCCGUUGGUUCACACACCACCAUCAUUAUGGUCCUCAUGGUGAUGGAAGCUCAUAGGUUUCUCAAGGUGACAGCACCAGCUACUUUAAGAUGGAUUUAGAAAUGUAUCAAAGGAAAACUUGGUAAUAUUCUUCUUUCCCCUGCCAGAGAUGGCCCAGGCCCAGAUCUCUGUUUAAGCGGAAAAGAAACUGAUCCUUUAACAGAGGCAAAGGUAAAUUCUUGUAUGGCCUCUACAUUCCUUUCCCCAGCGGGGUGGGGAGGGGGGACAGUUUUUGUGGGCGCAUGAGGAGCCUUAACCCAAGAAAUAAAGAUUGAGGGGGAGGGGUAAUUUCUCAGCGGGCAUAUGCCCAUAUACACAUAUAUACAUAGAUUUUCUUGCACGAUCAUAUCCACUGCUAGUAUAUAUAGGAAGGCAUUUAACCACACAUACAAAACAUCUCCUAUCUAUCUCCGCAGGGAAAUAAUUUUCUCUUUCCCUCUACUGAACUUACAUAAUUCCCCCACCCCUUGUUCCAAUCUUAGAAUGGAGUCCUUUGCGGGCAGCUGCAAAGCAUUCUCCCCAGGACAGAUGGAACCACCCUUCCUCAUCUAGUCUGUGGGUGGGUUUAGUGAGUCAACACAGGCUGAGGGUUGUGCUGGUGGUUUGUGUUUGAGGCUUGCCUGAUUAUUGUCAAUAAAAAUUAUGGGAAUUAUAAUACCUAAUAAAAAUGUUUUUUCUUCCAA